UAAACUAGGAUUAGAUACCCUAUUAUUAUAAAUGUUCAUUUUUAUACUAAAUUAUUAAUAGUUAUGUUCUUUAAAAUUAAAAAAUUUGGCGGUAUUUUAGUCUUUUCAGAGGAACCUGUCCUGUAAUUGAUAGUCCACGAUUAGGGAUACUUUAUUUAUUAAUUUACAUAUCGUUGUAGUUUGAAUAUUUUAUUAGAAUUAUAAUAUUCAAGAUUUUAUUUUAGAAAAUAUAUCAGAUCAAGGUGUAGUUUAUAAUAAAGAAGAGGUGGGUUACAAUAAAUUUAUUUUUGAAUAAAUUUUUUGAAAAAAUUUUGAAUUUGGAUUUGAAAGUAAUUUUUUGAGUUUUACUAAAAAUGAUUAUAGCUCUAAAAUAUGUACACAUCGCCCGUCGCUCUUAA
rnacentral:rRNA from 1 species